rnacentral:rRNA from 1 species
UAUUUUGACUAUACAAAGGUAUUGAAAUAAGACUUUAAUUGAGUGCUAAGAGAAUGGAAUUUCAAAAAAAUUCUUUUUUUGAAUCAAUAAUUGAAAUUAUUUUUAUUUGUGAAGAAACAAUAAUUUAUAUUAGGGACAAGAAGACCCUAAGAAUUUUUAAUGAGUUUUUUAUUUUAUAAUAAAAUACUCAUUUUAAUUGGGGCGAUUGAUAAAUAUUAAAAACUUUAUUUAAAAAUAAAAACGAACCAUUAUUAAUGGUAAAAUGAAAAAAUACUCUAGGGAUAACAGCGUAAUAAUUUUUGAUAGUUCUUAUAGACAAAAUAGUUUGCGACCUCGAUGUUGGAUUAGGAUUCUUUUUUAAUGAAGAAGUUAAAAUAAGAAGUUUGUUCAACUUUUAAAUUCCU